rnacentral:rRNA from 1 species
AGACGCUGGCGGCGUGCCUAACACAUGCAAGUCGAGCGGAGAAUGCGGACAUGUUUACAUGGAAGCAUCUUAGCGGCGGACGGGUGAGUAACACGUGGGUAACCUGCCUCAAAGAGGGGGGAUAGCCUUCCGAAAGGAAGAUUAAUACCGCAUAAGCCUGCAGUACCGCAUGGUACAGCAGGAAAAGGAGCAAUCCGCUUUGAGAUGGACCCGCGGCGCAUUAGCUAGUUGGUGAGGUAACGGCUCACCAAGGCGACGAUGCGUAGCCGACCUGAGAGGGUGAUCGGCCACAUUGGAACUGAGACACGGUCCAGACUCCUACGGGAGGCAGCAGUGGGGAAUAUUGCACAAUGGGCGAAAGCCUGAUGCAGCAACGCCGCGUGAAUGAUGAAGGCCUUCGGGUCGUAAAGUUCUUUGAUCAGGGAUGAUAAUGACAGUACCUGAAAAACAAGCCACGGCUAACUACGUGCCAGCCGCGGC